GAUGAAGAACGCAGUGAAAUGCGAUAAGUAAUGUGAAUUGCAGAAUUCAGUGAAUCAUCGAAUCUUUGAACGCACAUUGCGCCCGCCAGUAUUCUGGCGGGCAUGCCUGUUCGAGCGUCAUUUCAACCCUCAGGCCCCGCCUGGCGUUGGGGAUCGGCGCGGCCCUCUCCGGGCUGCCGACCCCGAAAACUAGUGGCGGUCUCGCUGUAGUCCUCCUCUGCGCAGUAGCAACGCUCGCACUGGAAGUCGGCGCGGCCACGCCGUAAAACACCCCACUUCUGAAAGUUGACCUCGGAUCAGGUAGGAAUACCCGCUGAACUUAAGCAUAUCAAUAAGCGGAGGA
rnacentral:misc_RNA from 1 species